UGGGGAAUAUUGCACAAUGGGCGCAAGCCUGAUGCAGCCAUGCCGCGUGUAUGAAGAAGGCCUUCGGGUUGUAAAGUACUUUCAGCGGGGAGGAAGGUGUUGAGGUUAAUAACCUCAGCAAUUGACGUUACCCGCAGAAGAAGCACCGGCUAACUCCGUGCCAGCAGCCGCGGUAAUACGGAGGGUGCAAGCGUUAAUCGGAAUUACUGGGCGUAAAGCGCACGCAGGCGGUCUGUCAAGUCGGAUGUGAAAUCCCCGGGCUCAACCUGGGAACUGCAUUCGAAACUGGCAGGCUAGAGUCUUGUAGAGGGGGGUAGAAUUCCAGGUGUAGCGGUGAAAUGCGUAGAGA
rnacentral:rRNA from 1 species